rnacentral:rRNA from 1 species
AUUGAACGCUGGCGGCAGGCCUAACACAUGCAAGUCGAGCGGAUGAAGGGAGCUUGCUCCUGGAUUCAGCGGCGGACGGGUGAGUAAUGCCUAGGAAUCUGCCUGGUAGUGGGGGAUAACGUCCGGAAACGGGCGCUAAUACCGCAUACGUCCUGAGGGAGAAAGUGGGGGAUCUUCGGACCUCACGCUAUCAGAUGAUCCUAGGUCGGAUUGGCUAGUUGGUGGGGUAAAGGCCUACCAAGGCGACGAUCCGUAACUGGUCUGAGAGGAUGAUCAGUCACACUGGAACUGAGACACGGUCCAGACUCCUACGGGAGGCAGCAGUGGGGAAUAUUGGACAAUGGGCGAAAGCCUGAUCCAGCCAUGCCGCGUGUGUGAAGAAGGUCUUCGGAUUGUAAAGCACUUUAAGUUGGGAGGAAGGGCAGUAAGUUAAUACCUUGCUGUUUUGACGUUACCAACAGAAUAAGCACCGGCUAACUUCGUG